rnacentral:rRNA from 1 species
UACGUAGGGUGCGAGCGUUAAUCGGAAUUACUGGGCGUAAAGGGCGCGUAGGCGGGAUGGCAAGUCGGUCGUGAAAUCCCUCGGCUCAACCGAGGAACGUCGAUCGAUACUGCUGUUCUUGAGGAUUGCAGAGGAGACUGGAAUUCCCGGUGUAGCGGUGAAAUGGUGUAGAGAUCGGGAGGAACGACCGGUGGCGAAGGCGGGUC